GUCUGGCUCACACGUGGGAUUUCUGUGUUACUGUCUCUUCCGCUGCCAUCUGUCUGCUUGUGGGUUACUGGGUAUAUAGUAAGGAAGGAGUAUGGGGGUAGGUAGAGUCACUGGGUAUAUAGUAAGGAAGGAGUAUGGGGGUAGGUAGAGUCACUGGGUAUAUAGUAAGGAAGGAGUAUGGGGGUAGGAGUCACUGGGUAUAUAGUAAGGAAGGAGUAUGGAGGUAGGUAGAGUCACUGGGUAUAUAGUAAGGAAGGAGUAUGGGGGUAGGUAGAGUCACUGGGUAUAUAGUAAGGAAGGAGUAUGGGGGUAGGUAGAGUCACUGGGUAUAUAGUAAGGAAGGAGUAUGGGGGUAGGAGUCACUGGGUAUAUAGUAAGGAAGGAGUAUGGAGGUAGGUAGAGUCACUGGGUAUAUAGUAAGGAAGGAGUAUGGGGGGUAGGUAGAGUCACUGGGUAUAUAGUAAGGAAGGAGUAUGGGGGUAGGUAGAGUCACUGGGUAUAUAGUAAGGAAGGAGUAUGGGGGUAGGUAGAGUCACUGGGUAUAUAGUAAGGAAGGAGUAUGGGGGUAGGAGUCACUGGGUAUAUAGUAAGGAAGGAGUAUGGGGGUAGGUAGUCACUGGGUAUAUAGUAAGGAAGGAGUAUGGGGGUAGGUAGAGUCACUGGGUAUAUAGUAAGGAAGGAGUAUGGGGGGUAGGUAGAGUCACUGGGUAUAUAGUAAGGAAGGAGUAUGGGGGGGUAGAUAUUAGAGAUGAAGCCCUUGGGCUGAGAGUGUUGCACUGCUGGUUCCUACCAAGUACAUUCUGUAUCUCGGCGCUAUAGGAGCCCAAUAGGAGCCCAAUACUCACUUUCUCUUGU